GACAGAGGUGGCAAGCGUUGUUCGGAUUCAUUGGGUGUAAAGGGCAGGUAGGUGGCUAAGUAAGUCUGGUGUGAAAUCCCAGGGCUCAACCUCGGAACUGCCUUUGAUACUGCAAAUCUCGAGUCCGGAAGAGGUGAGUGGAAUUCCUAGUGUAGAGGUGAAAUUCGUAGAUAUUCGCAAGAACACCAGUGGCGAAGGCGGCUCACUGGCCCGGUACUGACGCUGAGGUGCGAAAGCAUGGGGAGCGAACAGG
rnacentral:rRNA from 1 species